AAGGUUUUAAGUUAAUCAAACUAUUAGCCUUCAAAGUUGAAAAUAUUAUUUUAAAUUUAAGCCUUA
rnacentral:tRNA from 1 species